CCCUUAGAUGUUCUGGGCCGCACGCGCGCUACACUGACGAAUGCAACGAGCUUAUAACCUUGGCCGAAAGGUCUGGGUAAUCUUUGAAAUUUCAUCGUGAUGGGGAUAGAUUAUUGCAAUUAUUAAUCUUCAACGAGGAAUUCCUAGUAAGCGCGAGUCAUCAGCUCGCGUUGAUUACGUCCCUGCCCUUUGUACACACCGCCCGUCGCUCCUACCGAUUGAAUGGUCCGGUGAAAUGUUCGGACCGCGACAAGGCGGACGGUUCGCUGUCAGCUUUGCUGCGGGAAGUUCAUUAAACCUUAUCAUUUAGAGGAAGGAGAAGUCGUAACA
rnacentral:rRNA from 1 species